rnacentral:rRNA from 1 species
GGAUUAGAUACCCUGGUAGUCCUCGCCGUAAACGAUGUGUACUAGAUCGGGGAGGUUUUGACGCCAUCCCGGUCGUCGUGAAAACACUAAGUACACCGCCUGGGGAGUACGGUCGCAAGGCUAAAACUCAAAGGAAUUGACGGGGGCUCACACAAGCGGUGGAGCAUGUGGCUUAAUUCGAGUCAACGCGAAGAACCUUAUCCUGGGUUUGACAUGGACGGAUUAGGCCCCCGAAAGGGGGUUCGACGCUCUCACGAGUGGAACGUUCACAGGUGCUGCAUGGCUGUCGUCAGCUCGUGUCG